CAGUAGCCACGGUAAUACAGAGGAUGCAAGCGUUAUCCGGAAUGAUUGGGCGUAAAGCGUCUGUAGGCGGCUUUGUAAGUUAGAGGUGAAAGCCUGGAGCUCAACUCCAGAACUGCCUUUAAGACUGCAUCGCUUGAAUCCAGGAGAGGUGAGUGGAAUUCCGAGUGUAGAGGUGAAAUUCGUAGAUAUUCGGAAGAACACCAGUGGCGAAGGCGGCUCACUGGCUCAUUCUAGACGCUGAGGUGCGAAAGCGUGGGGAGCAAACAGGAUUAGAUACCCCAGUAGUCCCUGUCUCUUAUAC
rnacentral:rRNA from 1 species